rnacentral:lncRNA from 10 species
UACCAUGUUGUUGUUGUAUGCUUAUAUUUCUUCUAAUAGUUUUAUGCCUAUAAUCAUUGGACUCUCAACCAAUUUGUUAACUCUCCAAGGUCAGAGAUUACAUUUUAUAUCACAAAUCAGAAAACGAAAUUAAUAUUUAUUGAAUGCUUCCUCUGUGCCAGUAACUGUAACAUGUGUUCAACAUUUGUUAUUGAGAAAUCUCUGAGUCCACUUUUUUGUGUGUAUGCAUGCUCUGCCUUCAUCAUUUCCACAUUGCCCUACCAGAGAGCCCUGACUACUCAUGCCAGAUAACACCAACCCAAGUAAGUAGCAGGUUUACUAGUGUUUUAGGACAAUGAUGGUGGAAUUUCCACUAGUAAUUUCUUCUACUUGGGUUCCAGCCUCCUGCCUGUUCCAAGGACUUUGUCUUUCUUCAACAUUUUCUUGCUUCCUUUCUAGCUCUUUCUAAAUGAUCCUGUUUUGUGCAAAACAGUUAAGCUAUUUCCUUGAUUCAUUCCCAGUAGAGUCACAACAAGGUCUCAUCUUAAAAAAUAAAUCCACCCAUUAGGGGUUUCUAAAGCAAAGACAGUUUCUCUUUCUGUCUCUCUCUUUCUCUCUCUCUCUAAAACAAAGGCAGUUUAGUUUUUUGCAAGCUAUAAUUUUUUUAUCUACUAUGCAAACAUUUUCUCAUUUAAUCCCCCCAACAAUCCAUUUCACAGCAGCUAGUGAUAUACAUUUAUUGCUUACUAUGCACCAGGCACUGUUCUAAAUGCAUUAUUCAUAUUAUUUCAUUUAACCUGCACUAUAAACACAAGACACAGGUCUUGUUAUUAUUCACAUUUUACAGACUGGGAUGAAGAUAAGCAAUUUGUCUAAGAGUAAGCAAAAGAGCUGGAAUAAAAACCUAGGCAGUCUGAUUCCAGAGCGCAAACCCUUGAUGUUGCUGUCCUGGCCCACAGAGAAGGAAACAGACAUAAGAGGUUAAGUGAUCUUCUGUGGUCACUCAGAUGGUGACUAAUGUUACUGAAGUCCUUGCUGUGUCCGCCAGGGUCUCAUGUACCAUUCUUUGCUUUGUUAGGGAAAGCAUUGCUGUCCUUCCCUUGUUGCCCUCACUUGGCUUCCCCAACAGGUACUUAACGUAACUUAAUUGUGUAUAUUAAAUUCACGGAGAUCUGAAGGGGAGGUCAGUACUUUUAUAAGACUUAUCCUCAAUUUCUCCUUUUGUUUGAUUUCCUCAUAUCUUGUCUAUCAACAAAUCUGCCACCAAUAUGCCUCUUUUCUAGUCCAUUCCAUCACUAUCGCCCUAUUCCACACAAUAGACUUGCUUAGUGCCAUCUAACUGCUCUCUCUGCUUCUAUUUUGUCCCUUUCAACCAAUUUGUCAGAGUAGCUGGAGUGUAUAUCAAUUCUUGUCACUCCCUGGAUGAAAAUCUCCAGCAGCUUCUGAUUAUCUUCAGACUGAAAUCCAGCUCCAGACAGUGGCCAACGGGGCCCUGUGUGAGCUGGCUCUGCCCUUUUUUCCAACCUCAUUUUAGGUCAUUCUCCUUACUCAUCACUCUUCAACCACCCUGGCCUUUUUGCAGUUCCUUGAACAUUCCAGGCUUUCUUCACAUGGGACUCAUGCUAUGCAGUUGUUUUUGUCCGGGAAGUCUCUUCCCUCCACCCUUUAAGGUGGUCCUUUUCUUGUUUUCCUCUUCUUGUUUUCCAAGUGACCCUCUAAAAUGUCACCUCCAUUCAGAGUCCAUCCUUAACCUUUAUAUUCGCUACAUGCCAUGUCUGUUUCUUAUGUAAUAGAUGGGUAAAUAAAUGGUUGGAGGGCGGUGGCACGGUAUUGGCUCACUGCAACCUCCGUCUCCCAGGUUCAAGUGAUUCUCCUGCCUCAGCCUCCCAAGUAGCUGGGACUACAGGCAAGCACCACCAUGCCCAG